UACGUAGGGGGCAAGCGUUGUCCGGAUUUAUUGGGCGUAAAGAGCGUGUAGGCGGCCAUGUAGGUCCGUUGUGAAAACUCGAGGCUCAACCUCGAGACGCCGAUGGAAACCAUGUGGCUAGAGUCCGGAAGAGGCGAGUGGAAUUCCUGGUGUAGCGGUGAAAUGCGCAGAUAUCAGGAGGAACACCAAUGGCGAAGGCAGCUCGCUGGGACGGUACUGACACUGAGACGCGAAAGCGUGGGGAGCGAACAGG
rnacentral:rRNA from 1 species